AGUGAACGCUGGCGGUAGGCCUAACACAUGCAAGUCGAACGGCAGCACAGUAAGAGCUUGCUCUUACGGGUGGCGAGUGGCGGACGGGUGAGGAAUACAUCGGAAUCUACUUUUUCGUGGGGGAUAACGUAGGGAAACUUACGCUAAUACCGCAUACGACCUACGGGUGAAAGCAGGGGAUCUUCGGACCUUGCGCGAUUGAAUGAGCCGAUGUCGGAUUAGCUAGUUGGCGGGGUAAAGGCCCACCAAGGCGACGAUCCGUAGCUGGUCUGAGAGGAUGAUCAGCCACACUGGAACGGAGACACGGUCCAGACUCCUACGGGAGGCAGCAGUGGGGAAUAGUAGACAAUGGGCGCAAGCCUGAUCCAGCCAUACCGCGUGGGUGAAGAAGGCCUUCGGGUUGUAAAGCCCUUUUGUUGGGAAAGAAAAGCAGCAGGUUAAUACCCCGCUGUUCUGACAGUACCCAAAGAAUAAGCACCGGCUAACUUCGUG
rnacentral:rRNA from 1 species